UACGUAGGGCGCAAGCGUUGUCCGGAAUUAUUGGGCGUAAAGAGCUCGUAGGCGGUCUGUCGCGUCCGUUGUGAAAACUCGAGGCUCAACCUCGGGCUUGCAGUGGAUACGGGCAGACUAGAGUGCGGUAGGGGAGACUGGAAUUCCUGGUGUAGCGGUGGAAUGCGCAGAUAUCAGGAAGAACACCUAUGGCGAAGGCAGCUCGCUACACAUAUAUUGACUCUGAGGCACGAAAGCGUGGGGAUCAAACAGG
rnacentral:rRNA from 1 species